UAAUCGCGGAUCAGCAUGCCGCGGUGAAUACGUUCCCGGGCCUUGUACACACCGCCCGUCACACCAUGGGAGUUGGGAGCGCCCGAAGCCGGUGAGGUAACCGAGAGGAGCCAGCCGUCGAAGGUGAGACCAAUGACUGGGGUGAAGUCGUAACAAGGUAGC
rnacentral:rRNA from 1 species